rnacentral:lncRNA from 1 species
AUGCCACCACAGUGGAGAUGGAGGACGCUGCGGGCCUCAGGCGGCUCGGCCGGGCCGGGGUCGAUAGACCUGCUGCUGCGGCCGCCACCGGGGCAGACCCCGCGCCCUCCACCGCCGCACUGCCCGGCCCCGAGGUCUCUGAGGGGGGCCGAGAGCCAGCACCCAGUGAGCCCGUCCGUGCUCGCUGCGGCCCCAGCUUUCCCUACCUGCUCCUGCCCCGCGCCGAGACCCCGCAGCUCAGACAGAGCCAGCAAAUCCUCGCGGUCCCGCCAGCGCUGCGGGCUCCCUCCACCCCUCCCGGGUCUACGGCACCCACAGAGCCGCCACGGGGUGCAAUGGGCCUGGCGGGUUCCAGCGCCGCUGUUGCUCCCGGGUGGCUCCCAGCGGCGGCGGCUCCCCCAGGCGGCGGCGGCUCCCUCAGGCGGCGGCUCCCUCAGGCGGCGGCGGCUCCCUCAGGCGGCGGCUCCCUCAGGCGGCGGCGGCUCCCUCAGGCGGCGGCUCCCUCAGGCGGCGGCGGCUCCCUCAGGCGGUGGCUCCCCCAGGCGGCGGCUCUCAGCGGCGGCGGCUCCCCCAGGCGGCGGCUCCCCCAGGCGGCGGCUCUCAGCGGCGGUGGCUCCCCCAGGCGGCGGCUCUCAGCGGCGGCGGCUCCCCCAGGCGGCGGCUCCCCCAGGCGGCGGCUCUCAGCGGCGGCGGCUCCCCCAGGCGGCGGCUCUCAGCGGCGGUGGCUCCCCCAGGCGGCGGCUCCCUCAGGCGGCGGCGGCUCCCUCAGGCGGCGGCUCCCUCAGGCGGCGGCGGCUCCCUCAGGCGGCGGCUCCCUCAGGCGGCGGCGGCUCCCUCAGGCGGUGGCUCCCCCAGGCGGCGGCUCUCAGCGGCGGCGGCUCCCCCAGGCGGCGGCUCCCCCAGGCGGCGGCUCUCAGCGGCGGUGGCUCCCCCAGGCGGCGGCUCUCAGCGGCGGCGGCUCCCCCAGGCGGCGGCUCCCCCAGGCGGCGGCUCUCAGCGGCGGCGGCUCCCCCAGGCGGCGGCUCUCAGCGGCGGUGGCUCCCCCAGGCGGCGGCUCCCUCAGGCGGUGGCUCCCCCAGGCGGCGGCUCUCAGCGGCGGUGGCUCCCCCAGGCGGCGGCUCCCUCAGGCGGUGGCUCCCCCAGGCGGCGGCUCCCUCAGGCGGCGGCUCCCCCAGGCGGCGGCUCUCAGCGGCGGUGGCUCCCCCAGGCGGCGGCUCCCUCAGGCGGUGGCUCCCCCAGGCGGCGGCUCUCAGCGGCGGUGGCUCUCAGAGCUGCGGCUCGCCCGCCGGGCUGGGCUGCCGGGUCGCGGGGCUGUGCGGCCUGCCCUCCGCUCUCCUGGCUCCUCCGCAACCCACGCACCCAUCCCGCCCCAGCGGCGCUGCUCUGGCUGCCGGCCCCCAGGAGCCUGCUCUGACUGUGCCCCGGGCAGCAGCUGCACCGGCUCCGGACUGA